CACGUAAGGGGCGAGCGUUGUUCGGGAUUAUUGGGCGUAAAGGGCGCGUAGGCGGUCCUGUAAGCCCGGCGUGAAAACCUGGAGCUCAACGCCGGGCCUGCGCUGGGAACUGCGGGACUAGAGUCAUGGAAGGGAAGUUGGAAUUCCAGGUGUAGGGGUGAAAUCUGUAGAUAUCUGGAAGAACACCGGGGGCGAAGGCGAACUUCUGGCCAAUGACUGACGCUGAGGCGCGAAAGUGCGGGGAGCAAACAGG
rnacentral:rRNA from 1 species